rnacentral:pre_miRNA from 1 species
AGUGAGAUAGCUGAGUCAAAUGGUGGUUCUAUUCCAAAUGUUCUAAGGAAUCUCCAUACUGCUUUCCAUAUUGGUUGUACCAAUUUGUAGUCCUACCAGCAAU